rnacentral:tRNA from 1 species
GCUGUAGCUUAAUGGUAGAGCAUCUGCUUUGCAUGCAGAAGGUCCCCGGUUCAAUUCCCGCCAUCUCCA